GCGGGGGUCCGAGUUGUAAUUUGCAGAGGGUGCUUUGGCGUUGGCUGUGGUCUAAGUUCCUUGGAACAGGACGUCGCAGAGGGUGAGAAUCCCGUAUGUGGCCGCCAGUCUUCGCCGUGUAAAGCCCCUUCGACGAGUCGAGUUGUUUGGGAAUGCAGCUCUAAAUGGGAGGUAAAUUUCUUCUAAAGCUAAAUAUCUGCCAGAGACCGAUAGCGCACAAGUAGAGUGAUCGAAAGAUGAAAAGCACUUUGGAAAGAGAGUCAAAAAGCACGUGAAAUUGUUGAAAGGGAAGCGCUUGCAGUCAGACGUGCCUCUAGUUGCUCAGCCGGGCCUUCGGGCCCGGUGCACUCUUCUAUUGGCAGGCCAGCAUCAGUCUGGGCGGUCGGAUAAAGGCCCAUUAAACGUGACUCCCUCCGGGGAGAGCUUAUAGGGUGGGCGACAUGCGACCAGCCCGGACUGAGGUCCGCGCAUCUGCUAGGAUGCUGGCUUAAUAACUGUAAGCGGCCCGUCUUGAAACACGGACCAAGGAGUCUAACAUCUAUGCGAGUGUUUGGGUGUCAAGCCCGGACGCGUAAUGAAAGUGAACGGAGGUGGGAUCCCUUCGGGGUGCACCAUCGACCGAUCCUGAUGUCUUCGGAUGGAUUUGAGUAAGAGCAUAGCUGUUGGGACCCGAAAGAUGGUGAACUAUGCCUGAAUAGGGUGAAGCCAGAGGAAACUCUGGUGGAGGCUCGCAGCGGUUCUGACGUGCAAAUCGAUCGUCAAAUUUGGGCAUAGG
rnacentral:rRNA from 1 species